rnacentral:rRNA from 1 species
GACGAACGCUGGCGGCGUGCUUAACACAUGCAAGUCGAACGGAAAGGCCCUGCUUUUGUUGGGUGCUCGAGUGGCGAACGGGUGAGUAACACGUGAGUAUCCUGCCCUUGACUUUGGGAUAACUUCAGGAAACUGGGGCUAAUACCGGAUAGGAGCUCCUGCUGCAUGGUGGGGGGUGGUAAGUUUCGGCGGUUGGGGAUGGACUCGCGGCUUAUCAGCUUGUUGGUGGGGUAGUGGCUUACCAAGGCUUUGACGGGUAGCCGGCCCUAGAGGGUGACCGGCUAAAUUGUGACUGAGAGAGCGUACAGACUCGUACGGGACGCAGAAGUGGGGAAUAUUCCACAAUAGGCGGACGCCUGUUGCAGCACCGCCCUGUGCGGAAUAACGGCCUUCCCGUUGUAAACCGUUGUCGCCGGUGACGAAGCGUGAGUGACGGUAAUUUGUAAAGAAGCACGGGCUAACUACGUG